GAUGAACGCUGGCGGCGUGCCUAAUACAUGCAAGUCGAGCGAACGGACGAGAAGCUUGCUUCUCUGAUGUUAGCGGCGGACGGGUGAGUAACACGUGGAUAACCUACCUAUAACACUGGGAUAACUUCGGGAAACCGGAGCUAAUACCGGAUGAUAUUUUGAACCGCAUGGUUCAAAAGUGAAAGACGGUCUUGCUGUCACUUAUAGAUGGAUCCGCGCUGCAUUAGCUAGUUGGUAAGGUAACGGCUUACCAAGGCAACGAUGCAUAGCCGACCUGAGAGGGUGAUCGGCCACACUGGAACUGAGACACGGUCCAGACUCCUACGGGAGGCAGCAGUAGGGAAUCUUCCGCAAUGGGCGAAAGCCUGACGGAGCAACGCCGCGUGAGUGAUGAAGGUCUUCGGAUCGUAAAACUCUGUUAUUAGGGAAGAACAUAUGUGUAAGUAACUGUGCACAUCUUGACGGUACCUAAUCAGAAAGCCACGGCUAACUACGUG
rnacentral:rRNA from 1 species